AUACGCCUCUUACAUCAUAUGGUCCAUAAAGAAGGUAGGUUUGAUAAAAUUAAAAUUACAUUUCCAAUUCGGGGGCACUCGUACUUAGAGUGCGAUAAAGACUUUGCUCUCAUCAAACAGAAAACAAGAGUUGAAGUUCCAUCUCAAUGGGUCGAGGUUUUUAAAAAUGCUUUGGUUAAACCAAUGCCAUUUAAAGUUAUUGAGUGUACUACAGACAUUUUCCAUGCAUAGACAAAAUUUUUAACCCCUCAAUAUUAAAAAACCUGUCCAUUUCCAACAAGGCCAAUAAAAGAACUAAUAAUAAGCCAUCAACAUCCACGAACAAUUCAAAUGCGAGAAAGUUACAAUGGAGCUAUGUCAAGUUUUGUUCUAAUACCCCCAAGGCCAGGCGUAGCGGCUGCAACACCGGACAAACUUUACAAUGGCCUCAUUCCUAUUCCCAAGUUAAAGUAUGACCAACUGCAGGAACUUAAGAAGUUUGUAGAUGAAACGUCACAAAUCUACUAUACUAAUUUGCCUUAUCAUGCUAAUAAUAGGACUGUAGAUGAUGCAGAUAUGCAAAAGUAACUAUCAAUACCAAUGUCUAUUAUAAUGUCCGUGCCAAACAUGACGCGCUACUUCGGAAUGAAGCGGCGUUCAAACCUAAUUCUUGUGGAUUUGGAUCGUUUCUCGGUACACCGAAGAGAAGAAAUCUUCAAUUAUUUUUUUCCAAAAUUCUGUUUAUUUUUUUAUGAUUGUUAGUAGUCCCUAAGUAUUGCCCAUGUUAAUGACUUCUAAUAAAAAAAUAGUACAAAACGAUUUAUUUUUUAUUGUUUUGCAUGGAAGUCUUCAAACUUUCAAAUUCGUUUUUCUCAAAAAUAUAAAAAUGUGA